UAGAUUCAUUAAACUCGGUAAACUCGGCGCAUUUUCAAAUGCGGAUUAGAAAAUGGGUUGUUUUUAAUCCUAGGCCAAAAAUAGAUUAAGCCCAAAGCCUAAACGGUGUCAUUUCAAACAAAAUUAAGGAUUUAGUCAGACAACUCCUUCCCUAUCACCGUUUUCUUGCUUCUGUCCCGAUUCUCUCAACUGUGACGUCUCGCUUCUAUCAAGCCAAGCAAGCGAAGUUGAUCGCCAAAGGAAACUCCACUACUUCAGGUUUAUUGUUUAUAAUUGUAUGGAACAAAGAAUGUCAUCUAUGAUCGAGUCUAAGGGUGAGAGCAAUAAUACUAGUAGGAGGAAUGAAUCGGGAAAUAGGUCUGAUAUUGGUUGGGUGCACGGUAUAGAUGUGGAUAACAAUUUAAAAAGAGUGCAAUGCAAACAUUGCAACAAAAUUUUUAGCGAAGGAAUAUAUCGUUUUAAACACCAUUUAGCCGGAACUCGUAAGGACGUUGAAUCAUUCUUAAUUGUACCUGAGGAAGUUAAGAAGCAAAUGUUAGGAGUCUUAGCCAAACUAGUAGAAUCUUCACAGAAAAAAAAGAAGAUAUUUUUUACUUAGAUGAUAAUAUGUCUAACGAGGUCGAACAACCAGUUUCAAAGAGAAAAGAUGAUAUGGGGUUUUUUUCAAAAGAAAAACUCAAUAAAAGCAAGAGCAAGCAAACAACUAUUAAUCAGAUGAUGAAAACAGAUUUAAGGGAAGAAGCUUGUCAACAAAUAGCUAGGUUUUUUUACACAAAUGUAAUUCCUUUUAAUUGUGUGAAAAAUCCUGAAUUCAUGAAAAUUUUUAACUUAAUUGGAAGAUAUGGCAUUGGAUUCAAAGGUCCUACUUAUCAUGAAAUUAGAGAAAAGUAUUUGAAAAGGAAAUAAACUGCACAAUGGAUUUACUUGAUGAGUAUAAAGUAGAGUGGAAGAAAACAGGUUGCUCUGUCUUGUCUGAUGGAUGGAAUGAUAAGAAAAGACAUUCAAUUUCCAAUUUCUUGGCUAAUAGUCCAAAGGGAACUAUUUUCUUGUCAUCAUUGGAUACAUCUCACAUUUCUAAAACUACAGAUAAAGUUUUUGAAAUGUUAGAUGAAAUAGUAUAGAAAAUAAGGGAGGAGAAUGUUGUGCAAGUGGUUACUGAUAAUGCUGCAAAUUAUAAAGCUAAUGGAGAAAAGGAAAGGAUUGUUUGCUAAUGGAGAAAAGGAAAAGAUUGUUUUGGAUACCUUGUGCUGCACACUGCAUUGACUUGAUUUUAGAGGAUUUUGAGAAGAAGGUAACGGUCAAUAAGGUGACAAUUGCCAAAGCAAGAAAGAUUUCAGUAUAUAUUUAUGUAAGACCUUUUACUGAUUUCCAUUCUGAGGCAUUUUACUAGAGGUAGAGACUUGAUUAGACCAGCUGCUACAUGUUUUGCCACUGCUUAUUUGACCUUAGGAUGCCUUAAUGGUCAAAAAGGGUUUUUGAUGUCCAAGUUUACUUCCAAAACAUGGAGAGCUAGUAAGUUUGCAUCAACACAAGAUGGGAAGUGAGGGCAACACAUGGUUUUGGAUUCUAGAUUUUGGAAAAAUAUUGUUACAUUUCUUAAAGCUGCAUAUCCUCUCAUCAAAGUGCCUAGAUCGGUGGAUUCAGAAGAGAAACCAGCUAUGGGUUUCAUUUAUGAAGAGAUGGAUCAGGUAAAAGAGAAGACACAGCCAAUUUCAAUAAUGUUAGGAAAAGCUAUGAACCUGUAUGGAAAAUCAUUGAUGAAAGAUGAGAGCUUCAAUUACAUGGGCCUUUGCAUGCAGCAGCUUACUACUUGAACCCUCAUUACCAUUAUAGUCCUAAUUUUAAAGUUGAUGCUAAAAUUAAAAUUGGACUAUAUACUUGCCUUGAAAGAAUGGUGUCGGAUUCAUGAGAGAGAUGCAAAAUAGAUUUACAACUUGAAUCUUUCAAGGAUGCAAAAGGUUUAUUUGGCAUAGAAGUUGCAAAGUUGGCUAGGGACAAGAAACCUCCAGCUAAGUGGUGGGAUUCUUAUGGUGAUUAAUGCCUUGAAUUGUAAAAAUUUGCAAUUAGAAUUUUGAGUUUGACUUGUAGUUCUUCUGGUUGUGAGCAUAACUGGAGUGCAUUUGAAAUGGUUCAUACAAAAAAAAGGAAUCGCUUGCAUCAAAAGAAGAUGAAUGAUUUGGUUUUUGUAGUGUACAAUUUGAAGUUGAAAGACAGAAAAGCUAAACAUUAUGAUGAGCCAACAUCUUUUGAAGAAUACCAUCCGAUGAUGAGUGGAUAGCUGAAAAAGAUCAUCUUGAUUCACCAUUGGCAACAAAUAAUGAUUGGUUAGAUGUUCUUGGAAGCGAACCAAACAAGUGGUAUAAAUAUAGAUGAAGAAGAAAGUGGUGGAAAUCAAGUAUCAAAUGAAUUUAAAUUCAUAGAAAGUCAUGAAGCAAGCGAUGAUUUAGAAAUCCAUAACUCUAAUUUGGAUGGUGAUGACAUAGGUAGCAGUUAUAAUGAAAUAGGUAGGGCAUUUGGUGGUGAUGAAGAGUAUAGUGGUUUUGAAAAUGUGAAUGAUUAUGAAGGGUGGUAGUCUUGAAAAAAGUGCUAACGACUAUUUCUGGUCUUUUAGCUCAUCUUUACUUAGUAUUUUUCUUUGCUUAGGAAUUCUUAUGUUUUUUUUUUUUAUUGUGUGUGUUGUGAACUUGGUUUGUAUUAUGACAAUAUUAUCUCUUUUCUAUUAUUAGUUUUAUUUUUGACUUGUUAUAAAUU